rnacentral:rRNA from 1 species
GGAAUUAGGGUUAGUAGUUUGUCAAGUUGUUUAACUCUUUGGCGAGUGACAGAAAAUCGGAGGCCCCGACUGUUUACUAAAAACACAAUUUUCAGCAAUGAUGAAUAUCAUAGUAUUGAAGAUGAAAUUUGCUCGAUGCCAAUAAUAUAACCCCUACGCCUCACUUACUCUUCAUAAAUAAUUAGCUUAGGUUAGUAUAAAUUUUAAAGAUUUAGUUUUAGGGAAAGGGGGAAAUUCUGGUGAAUGGCGGUCUUAACUAUGAGGAUCCUAAGGUAGCAAAAUAAAUUGGCCAUUAAAUGUGGUCCGGUAUCAAUAAUGUAACGAUGGCCUCACUGUC